GGUGGCUGAGUGAUUGGCUAACUAAACAGGCAGUUAAGUAGUUAGUCGACUUGUUGGGUGAUGCAAUGAGAGCGCCGCUGUGCACUGCGCUCAUUGAGCUAUUGACUAAUCGCCGAUGAUGGCACAACCGUAAACACACACAGCGGUGUUUAAAUAUUUAUAUACACACAUGAAUACAGUUAUUUACUGAGUUGUGUAUUGAGUUGCCGGCAUUGUAUAGUAUUCGUUACCGAAUGCGCUUGCCACUUAAGUGCGAUUGAUUGCAGUAGGCGCUAUUAAUUGACAAUUUACAACAACAAUGUAGCUUUGCAAUUGACAAACAACCUUCAAAAUUUUUGCUUGUAAACAGUAAAAGUCUCAAAAUUACCAUUUUGGCAAUAAUGUUUGAGGCGAUUUUGUGUGUGAAACUAACAACCAGUAACUAAUUAACAAAAAAAUUCUAACUUUUAACAAAUUGAUUUUAAUUUGGUGAAUUUCUUAUAAGUGGACUACUAAUGGCUUCAGACUUUCUAUGUAUAACGGUGUCUAUAUUUCUAGGCUUUGGAGUCACCAUAUUCGGAUCGACCUUAAGGUAUCAUAUAUAAAGGUUUAAAUCAAUCUGAGUGUGUAUACAUAAAUAUAUCUGCAUAUCCACGAAAAAUGAUGAACCUCAAUCUAGAGUUUAUGAUUUCAAGUGGAUCUAAUGACAAAAAUAUAAUAAUCUUAUUCUAUAGUAGCUCAACGGAACUGCAUACUGCAAUAUCAAAACCAUAAAUGUAUCAAUACAUCUGAGUUUGGCUCCAUUACAAAAUAAUAAAUACGAUGUGAUAAUACUUUCAAGUAAUCUUGCUAAUAUGAACCUCCGAAUCACAACUCAAGUAUAAGAAGCUUAUGAAGCGAGAACAGUUUCUAUCCUGGAAGGUACACUACUUUCUCGACAGAACUUUCUACAUAUGCAUAACUAAAUAGAUAUUUAAUUAGAUUUGAAUCAAAUUUGAAAUAAUAUGUAAGUGCAAGAAGAGGAAACUUUUUAUACUAAAGAAUACUCUUUCCAAUAAAUUUUCCUCCAAAUACAGUUGAACUUUUCAUUAAAACAUAAAAUUUUUCAACAAGCUGUAAAAUAUAGAUUUAUACAUAGUUGACGUUGAACACCAAAAGCUCCGUUAUGAUUGUGAAUAACCUCUCCGAGCCGUUCGAUACCAAACGAGGUUUCAGACAAGGUGACUCAAUAUAGUUUGACUUCUUUAACUUGAUGCACAAGAAGAAGAAGGUACAAUCUUCUAUAAGAGUGUACAGCUACUGGCGUACACCGAUGAUAUUGAUAUCAUCGGAAGCAACGUACUGCUUUUUGCCGCCUGGAUAAGGAAGCGAAGCGAAUGGGUCUGGAGGUGAACGAGGACAAGGCGAAAUAUCUUCUGUCAUCAAACAAACGCGUAUUGGCUGCCACGUCACUGUUGAAAGUCAUAACUUUGAAGUCGUAGAUACUUUCGUCUACUUGGGAACCAGCGUUAACAACGCCAACAAUGUCAGCCUCGAGAUCUCCAGCGCAGAAUCACUCUUGCUAAACGGUGCUACUUUGGACUGUCAUCUGUCGACAAACCAAAACCAAACUCCACAAUUCGCUUAUCAUUCCCAUCCUGGUGCAGAAGAGUGAACGAUGACAACAUCCGAUGAGAUGAGACUUGAGGUUUUCGAGAAAAAGGUUUUGCGGAAGAUCUAUGGUCCUCAGAACAUUGGCAACGGCGAAUACCGCAGAUGAUGGAACGAUGUUUGAGUUAUACGACGACAUUGACAUAGUUCAGCGAAUUAAAAAACAGCGGUUACCCUGGAUAGGUCAUGUUGUCCGAAUGGACGAAAACACUCAAGCUCUGAAAGUGUUCGAUGCAGUACCCGCCGGAGGAAGCCAAGGAAGGGGAAGGCCUCAACUCCGUUGGAGGUACCAGGUGGAGAGCGAUCUGGUUACACUUCGGAUCUCCAACAGGCGUGGAAAUGCGAGGGAAAGAGAGGAGUGGCGCACUAUGAUCGAUUCGGCUACAACCGGCUAAACGGUUUCCACGCCAAUUACAUACAUACAUACACAGUUGUAUUUAUUUAUUUCGCAUAAAGUUAAUUCUUUGAAACAUGUAUUCUAUAAUUUUGUUUGUUGCAGUUUGCUAUUGUUUGGUUCUUGUUACAGGAUUAAUCAAUCCAUAAGUGUAAUACCAUAUUUUUUGUUCGCUUACAUACGAUAAAAUUAUUUUUCUUUUUUUGGUUCGAUUUAUGGAAGGAAAUUUGACUUUUAUUGCCAAUUCAAGAGUUCGGAUUAUGAAGAUCUUGGAGUUAUAGAAGUUCGAUACGAAUAACUUUGACUAAACCAAUCUGUAUGUACAUAUAUAUAUGUAUAUUUAACUAAUUUGAGAACAUAACUAUGGAUAUUGCGAAAAUUCGCACUAUUUCCCAAAAUUUGUUGAAGAUAACCACCCUUCAUUGAAUUUUGAGCUAUAGUUACAGAAGAUAUCGGUAAAUAGAUUAUUUUUGAACGCAAAAUGGAUGUCCAUAUGAUUCUCCUGGUAUCCUUUGAUGAGUGCUGGCUGGUAUUACAGCGGCUUUCGUGAAGAAAUAUGGAUGCAUUCCCUUUGACCAC